AGUGAACGCUGGCGGUAGGCCUAACACAUGCAAGUCGAACGGUAGCACAGUAAGAGCUUGCUCUUACGGGUGGCGAGUGGCGGACGGGUGAGGAAUACAUCGGAAUCUACUUUUUCGUGGGGGAUAACGUAGGGAAACUUACGCUAGUACCGCAUACGACCUACGGGUGAAAGCAGGGGAUCUUCGGACCUUGCGCGAUUGAAUGAGCCGAUGUCGGAUUAGCUAGUUGGCGGGGUAAAGGCCCACCAAGGCGACGAUCCGUAGCUGGUCUGAGAGGAUGAUCAGCCACACUGGAACUGAGACACGGUCCAGACUCCUACGGGAGGCAGCAGUGGGGAAUAUUGGACAAUGGGCGCAGGCCUGAUCCAGCCAUACCGCGUGGGUGAAGAAGGCCUUCGGGUUGUAAAGCCCUUUUGUUGGGAAAGAAAAGCAGCAGGUUAAUACCCCGCUGUUCUGACGGUACCCAAAGAAUAAGCACCGGCUAACUUCGUG
rnacentral:rRNA from 1 species